rnacentral:rRNA from 1 species
AUGAGGCCGCUGUCUACCGACGGGGCAGUGGAGGAAAUGCCCUGCUGGUGGGGCGUCUAUGUUGACGACUUGGUGAUCACCGGCACCAAAGAUGCAGAAGUAGCGGCAUUCAAGGAAGACAUGAAGGCCACCUUCCAGAUGAGUGAUCUGGGGCUCCUCUCCUUCUAUCUAGGGAUUGAGGUGCACCAGGAUCACUCCGGGAUCGCGCUUCGACAGUCUGCCUACGCCAAGCGCAUCGUUGAGCUAGCUGGGCUCACCGGCUGUCAUCCAGCUCUCACUCCGAUGGAGGAGAGGCUGAAACUGAGCCGCGACAGCACGACGGAGGAACGACCGACGUCGGAACACCAGCAGGCAGUGAAGAGGAUCAUCCGCUACAUAGCAGGGACCCUCGACCACGGCCUCCACUAUCCUAGGUGUCCGGGGGCAGCACACUUCGUCGGGUACAGCGACAGCGACCACGCCGGCGACAUCGACACCAGCAAGAGCACGAGCGGGAUUCUCCUCUUCCUCGGCAAGUGUCUCGUGAGCUGGCAAUCAGUCAAGCAGCAGGUGGUGGCCCUGUCCAGCUGUGAGGCUGAGUACAUAGCAGCCUCCACCGCCUGCAUUCAGGUGCUUUGGCUCGCUCGACUGCUUGGUGAUCUUCUCGUUCAAGACACCAGAACGGUGUAG